UCUGCCUGGUAGUGGGGGACAACGUUUCGAAAGGAACGCUAAUACCGCAUACGUCCUACGGGAGAAAGCUUCGGCGCUAUCAGAUGAGCCUAGGUCGGAUUAGCUAGUUGGUGGGGUAAUGGCUCACCAAGGCGACGAUCCGUAACUGGUCUGAGAGGAUGAUCAGUCACACUGGAACUGAGACACGGUCCAGACUCCUACGGGAGGCAGCAGUGGGGAAUAUUGGACAAUGGGCGAAAGCCUGAUCCAGCCUGCCGCGUGUGUGAAGAAGGUCUUCGAUUGUAAAGCACUUUAAGUUGGGAGGA
rnacentral:rRNA from 1 species